GCCUGGCACGGUGGCGCAUGCCUGUAACCCCAGUGGCUUGGGAGGCUGAGACAGGAGAAUCGCGAGUUCAAAGCCAGCCUCAACAAUUGCGAGAUGCUAAGCAACUCAGUGAGACCUUGUCUCUA
rnacentral:sRNA from 1 species